UUCUCUCUUACGGACAGUUUUGUUUUACGUUUUAACUUGAUAUUAACUCAAUUAUUUUCUAUGGCAUGGUAACUAUGAAAGUAAAUGUUUUCUCUCUUCAACAACAAAAGAAGUGUUUCUUUUAGAAUUCCCCAUAUGUGUCUUCUGCAUUAAUGUACUAGGCUAAUUGUCUAUUAGAAGCUGAAUAUAUAUGUUAUUUGUUGGUGAUCCUGAGGUUAUAGGAGUAACAACAAUGAAUAUUGUUGCAUUACCAAUAGCGAGCCUGUACAAUUUUCAGCCCCUGCCUUUUUUUGUAAUUUUUUGCCUUCUUGGUAUCUUUAAAAUACAAGAACUUCAAGUAAAAGCACGUCCGAGAAUUGGUCACGUCUUGGAAGAAAAGUUGAACAGGAGACAAAUAACAACUUGUGGGCAGUUGCGUAUGAUCUCCAAGGUUUUCAUUGUUUAUUACUUAUUUCUUUCUGCAAUAUGUUCGUGAUUGCCCUCACAAUUUUGAUUUUCUAUUUAUUUAUAGUUUGUAUAAAACAAACACUAUUUUGUAUUUUUUUUCUUCAAGGGGACGUCAUGAAUCAUUGAAUCUCUUGCUCCAGAGAUCUUCUUUUUCAUUUUAUGUUUGUUACUACUAGGAAGUUACUGCAAAUUGUAUUAAGGGGUGUGGUUGUUAUAUAUUUAAGAGUUUGUGAGCAGAGUUUCUCCCAAGCCGGUGAGUGGCCUAGCGGUUAACAAUCGGAGUGACGUAUGGGCAUGGAGGGUAUAGUAUUUUCGGUGAUAACCUUGUGCUCUAUGUUUUUUAACUAAAGAAAUUUCUAGUUUCCUUCCUGGUUUUAAUUGCAUUGUUCUACUUGUAGGUGUCGAUGGCUACAGACAACGUUGAUGUGCUUGAGAGAAUCGCUUCACAGCUCUUUACUACUUCACACGUGGGUUGCUAGAUACUCCUAAUGAACAACUCUGGCCUGGGGUGAGCAAAUUAGUUAACUGGCACGAAUACCCCCAAUGGAAACCACAACCACUCUCAACUGUUGUACCUGGUCUAGCUGAAGAUAGACAUAAUUAUGUGUUUAGAUGUUGCUAUAUUUGGUAUUGUGGAUGUUUAGAUUUUGCUAUCUAUAUAUGUGGGUUCUUUUAUAUGAAUGUUGGAUAUUUUAAGAAGA